CGGACGGGUGAGUAAUGUCUGGGAAACUGCCUGAUGGAGGGGGAUAACUACUGGAAACGGUAGCUAAUACCGCAUAACGUCGCAAGGCCAAAGAGGGGGACCUUCGGGCCUCUUGCCAUCGGAUGUGCCCAGAUGGGGUUAGCUAGUAGGUGGGGUAAUGGCUCACCUAGGCGACGAUCCCUAGCUGGUCUGAGAGGAUGACCAGCCACACUGGAACUGAGACACGGUCCAG
rnacentral:rRNA from 1 species